rnacentral:rRNA from 1 species
AGCUAACCGGUACUAAUGAACCGUGAGGCUUAACCCUACAACGCCGAAG